GCGGUUAUGGUGAAGUUGGCUAACACGCCUGACUGUGACUCAGGUAUUUCGCGGGUUCGAGCCCCGUUAAUCGCCCCA
rnacentral:tRNA from 1 species